rnacentral:rRNA from 1 species
AGCAGCCGCGGUAAUUCCAGCUCCAAUAGCGUAUAUUAAAGUUGUUGCAGUUAAAAAGCUCGUAGUUGAAUUUCGGGAUCAAUACGUCGGUCGUGCCUCGGUACGUACUGGCGUCCUUGAUUUCUCCCUUCUGAAGAACCGUGAUGCCAUUAACUUGGUGUCAUGGGAAAUCAGGACUGUUACUUUGAAAAAAUUAGAGUGUUUAAAGCAGGCUCACGCUUGAAUACAUUAGCAUGGAAUAAUGAAAUAGGACGUUCGACCCUAUUUUGUUGGUUUCUAGGAUCAACGUAAUGAUUAAUAGGGAUAGUUGGGGGCAUUAGUAUUCAAUUGUCAGAGGUGAAAUUCUUGGAUUUAUUGAAGACUAACUACUGCGAAAGCAUUUGCCAAGGAUGUUUUCAUUAAUCAAGAACGAAAGUUAGGGGAUCGAAGACGAUCAGAUACCGUCGUAGUCUUAACCAUAAACUAUGCCGACUAGGGAUCGGAUGAUGUUAAUUUUUAAUUGACUCAUUCGGCGCCUUAC